CCCAUGGGAAGCCCUGGGGGACAGGCUCUACAGAGGACUUGUCACUUUCAAGAAGAAAAGAAAAAGGUUUGCCUGAUGAGUAAGGCAAGUAAGGCGGGCAAACAAUUCAGGCAGAGGGGCCAAUAUAUACAAAGUGGGGAAAGAAAGAAACGGAUCUAGUCUAAGCGACUGCUCAUCUGCUCAUAGCUCAGUCCAGCAUCAGUAGAGGUGUCAGCUUUAAAGGACGGACGAUGGUCAUGCCCAACAAGGACAUAUAACCAGGUUCAGAAGAACCAGGAAGUGGCCUGGCAGAGAGAGCUGGACUGAGGAGGGAAGCAAUUGUGUAGCCGAGUUGGUGAUGAGCCCUAGCCUGACCAGGACGACUGGACAAGGAAGGGACUGAUGAAGCCAAACCCCUUGGAGACAUUUGAGUAAGAACUGGGUUGUUUUAUUGCUUUGUUUUAAUUAAUUUGAAAAUCAUCGAUACUGUGCAAAUGGCAACUGACUCAUCAAAGGUGGGUGUUUAGAAGGGAUAAGUGGGAAAGUCUGAUAAUUUUUCUCAUUAAUUAAUUUGGUUCUGAAAAUAAGCAACGGUCCACAUUCUCAGUGAAAUAAAACAGACUAAAGAAUAGCCAAGAGGUUAGGCCUGAGGUAGAAUUAUUUAAAUUCUACCCUGGAUAUAGAAUCUCACUUUGGGCAGCC
ensembl:lncRNA LOC108351004 uncharacterized LOC108351004